CCUUAACCUGCUAAAUAGCCAGGCCGGCUUUUGCUGGUGGCAGACUUUUUAGAGGGACUGUCAGGGUUUAGCGGACGGAAGUUUGAGGCAAUAACAGGUCUGUGAUGCCCUUAGAUGUUUUGGGCCGCACGCGCGCUACACUGACAGAGCCAGCGAGUUCUCACCUUGGCCGGAAGGUCUGGGUAAUCUUGUGAAACUUUGUCGUGCUGGGGAUAGAGCAUUGCAAUUAUUGCUCUUCAACGAGGAAUUCCUAGUAAGCGUGAGUCAUCAGCUCGCGUUGAUUACGUCCC
rnacentral:rRNA from 1 species